UAUUACUCUCCAGCUCUCAUCUGGUUGCCCACUGAAGCUAAGCAGGGUUGAGCCUGGUCAGUACCUGGAUGGGAGACCUCCUGGGAAAACUGCUGGAAGAGGUGCUAG
rnacentral:rRNA from 1 species